CCUACGGGGGGCUGCAGUGGGGAAUAUUGCGCAAUGGGGGAAACCCUGACGCAGCAAUACCGCGUGAGUGAAGAAGGUUUUCGGAUCGUAAAACUCUUUUAUUGGGGAAGAAGAAGUGACGGUACCCAAUGAAGAAGUCCCGGCUAACUACGUGCCAGCAGCCGCGGUAAUACGUAGGGGACAAGCGUUGUCCGGAAUCACUGGGCGUAAAGGGCGCGUAGGCGGUUUUAUAAGUCAGAUGUGAAAGGUACCGGCUCAACCGGUGACGUGCAUUUGAAACUGUAAGACUUGAGUACUGGAGAGGCAAGUGGAAUUCCUAGUGUAGCGGUGAAAUGCGUAGAUAUUAGGAGGAACACCGGUGGCGAAGGCGGCUUGCUGGACAGAUACUGACGCUGAGGUGCGAAAGCGUGGGGAGCGAACAGGAUUAGAUACCCCGGUAGUC
rnacentral:rRNA from 1 species